UACUGUCUGUGCGGCGUUCGCAUGUUUUUCCGGGGUGCUUUUCAAUACUCAGAUUUAUGCUUCCUUGUUUCCUUGCUCCUCCGUUCUCCAGCCCGUGACCCGGAAAUAGAUCGAAGUCAGAUAUAUUGAAGGACAUAUCAGUUCUCUUAUUGCAAAGGCAGAGAACGAGGAGUGAGGAAACUGACGCACGUAUAAUUUAUCCUCCUUCUUUACAUCUGCCACAGUCUGAAACAAUGGCGGGAACUCUAACCACUCAUAAAUGAACUGAUGAGGAGACCCAUAAUCUAAUCAAAAUACGGAGGGAAAAUGUUGCAGGGUUUACGGGGAAGAGGCACAGUGCCAAAAAAUCCUGAGUUGAUGUACUUGAGAAGAUGGGUCUGAACAGAAUUGUGACAUGAAGUCAGAUUGCUAAGAAAUGGGACAAUCUGAAAAGGAAAUAUAAGGAGCUCCACUGUCCUCCUACAGGAACAGAGACAGUGGGGAGGUCACAGCAACCAUGUGGCCAUGGUUUUCUGCCAUGCAUGAGGCUAUUGGGGGAGGCCCUCUAUUGAGACUCCUGUCCUGAUAGACGCAUGUGAUGCAGAAGUCACAGCAUAUGCAGCUGUGGCCUCAGACACGGGCUCAGCACCCCUUGCAGCUGUUAGCCAGGCAAGCGUGGAGGAAGAGGAGGAGAGCUCUUCACCAUCUAGCACAAACAGCCUCAGGCAGGAGGAUGAGCCAACCACUUUGUCUUGUCUCCCACCUCCUAAAAGGAGGAGAAGCAUCAGGGUGUUGAAUUUUCUGGAGAGUGAGGCAGAAAAAGAGGAGGAGCUAUUUCAUGCCAUGCAUGAACUAAUGACCACUACCACCAACAGAUUCCUUGACCUCUUUGAACAAUUAAUUACAAAGAGUUAAACAUGAUCAUGGAGUGUCCUUUUCGUUAUGAAAUAACAAAAAGUGUGACCUAAUAUUCCUUAUUAGAUGUUUUUAUGCCAAUCACACUUGCCAGAUGUGUACAAUUCAGGACAGUGAAUAAGAUGGUAUAUUUAUUAUCAAAAUGGUUAAUCCUCUCUCCCAAAUGGAUGCCCAUGGAUAUGUAUUGGUUUGAAUUUGCGUGUUAUCAAUAUAGCAAACAUUUACAGAUCCAGUCAUAUACAGUACAUAAAAUAUUUAGCAGUUGUAAAAGCCUACCAUACUGUGCCAAAAAACAGGUUAACAAGCCACACUAGAACCAUUUUUACACUGAUCAACAGUGUGAAAUUAGAACCUUUUCAGUUCUCAAAACACAAUGUAGAUGUAUCCAUAUGUAUUUUAAUGUAGUGCAAACAUAGUCUGCAUUGAACCUGAUACGUGACUACAAGAAUUCAGCAACAAUCGCCUAUCAGAAUGAACAUAUUUAUGCAUUGAUAAUGUGGGUACAGCGGGUCCCUGGAGGACUAGUGGUUAGACCACAGCGCUUUCACCGCUGCAGGACCAGGUUUAAUUCCAGCCAGGGAACCAACUCCAUGCAGCAGUGCCGGUCCAUCACGCUAUAUGACAGGCCAUGUGCUAGCCAGUACACGGUUAUCAGUAUUGUUAUGUGGUGUCCCCAGCCAUGUGUUUCAUCAUGUGGCAACAUCCUCAUUAAGGCAUCCAUUGUAACAUGGCUCAGUUCGAAGUCCACCAUGAGGUCCUGCUCACUAUCAGAGUAUAAUUUUAGCACUAGAACAGUAGCAUUAAUUUCUGCAUAGAUUGGAGCAGGUGUAUUUUCAGCCUGAAAUGAAAAAUACCUUGUAAAUGUAUUUAUUAUGAGUAAGUUUUAGCACAUAGCACUGAAACAUUAAACAUUCUACCCUGGUGUUACAGAACACCUUUAAUGAAUGUUCAGUUUGGUUAGCCUUGCUUUGUUGUGUAUCAUUUUUUAGUCCAGGUCAAUUUUGAAAAAAGAAACAUACAUGUACCAACAGUAAUAGUAACAUUAAUCAUUAAAAUAUUUGAUUGAAAAACAUGAUCAUAAGAAGGCAGAAUAUUGUUUUUUUUUUUUUUUUUG